CUUAGCAGAUUCAUGUUGCGUCUGCCCCUUCCGUCGCCGCCAUUUUCGCAUCCGAUUGUCCUUUCCGCCUUCGGCACCCUCUUCUUAUGUUUGCUUUGCGUCUCCGGGAGCGUGAGUGCAGUGUGCUGCUGAUCCCGGAGUCUGCUCUCUCUCGUCUUCGCUGUCGUUGAUGGCGGCCGUGGUGUGCCGGUAGUGCCUGUAUCUGCGACGUGGCUGGUGGUCGUUUGGUUUGGCUGCGGAGGGCUGUUGCAGUGGUAGAGUGAGUGUGGUGGGGAGGUGGUGCAGCGGCAGGCGAGGGCAGCAGCCAUGUCGUGGCAGUCGUACGUCGAUGACCACUUGAUGUACCCGCUUCCGACGGGGCAUAGUCUGGUGGCCGCCGCCAUCAUCGGGCACGAUGGAAGUGUUUGGGCGCAGAGCGAGAUGUUUCCGCAGUUGAGCUCAACGGAGGUGGAAAAGCUUCUGGAUGGUUUCGAGGACGGGAGCUUGCUGGCCGAGAACGGGCUGUUUUUGGGAAGCGCCAAGUACAUGGUUCUGCAGGGUGAAGCUGGCGUUGUGAUCCGGGGGAAGAAGGGUGCAGGAGGGUGCACAGUGAAGAAGACGAACAGCGCGUUUGUGAUCGGGCUGUACGACUAUCCAGUGACGCCGGGCGAAUGCAACAUGGUGGUGGAGAGGCUGGGGGAUUAUCUGUGCGAUCAGGGGCUUUGAAGACGAAUGGAGCAGCGUUGAUGCGGGAGAAGCUGGGUGGGAGCAGGAGCUGGAGCGGUUGAAGUAUUAUAACGGUUUGGAGCGUAUAGUAAUGUGCAUUGGAACGGUGGGAUAGCGGUGUGCGUGAAGUCCCGCCGAUGCGUUGGGUGGGCGGGAAGUGAGUGGUAGAUAUUUGAGUUGUCGACCGUGUUUAGAGUGUGAAGACUUGAGGAUGAUAGAGAGAGAGAUGGGCGAUGGAGCUGCGGCGGAAGGUUGGGGCGAAGAUGAAAGGGAAGUUGUGCAGCAUGGAGUUGGAUGUGGUCCUUGAGCAGCGGGUAGUCUCUGCGGAGGGUGGGUAAUUUCCGUGUCGAUGGAGCGAGGAUGUGGCGGGUGUUGCCACGUGGGUGGUGUCGGGAGUGCCGGUCCGGUGGAGGACAUUUUUCGUAAUCGCAGUCGCCAUGGUUGAUUUGGUCCGGGAGCAAGUACGUGAUGGUGCCGAAACUGUUAAGAAAGUGAUCAACCAUGUAGGAGCAGCUACAUGUGGGUCGGUGAAAUCUCGUGUCUAUGCCUUCAUUGUUAUACUGCAGUAGCCAAGACCAUAUUCAACAAUGAAUAUGUCCAUAUCAUGGCAGUCCGUAUUUGGCUCUUGCAUGUGGUGGAUUCCUUAGCUAUUGAUGCAUUCGAUAAAUUUAGAUUUGACUAGAGGACACUUUUUAAUCACGUAGUCACAUCGGUAAGGCAUUAGUUUUGUUAUUAUUCAUCUUCUUGAGACAAUUGUCGAACAUGGUUCUACUAUUGAGAUUUGAUUUACCAUC